rnacentral:rRNA from 1 species
GACGAACGCUGGCGGCGUGCUUAACACAUGCAAGUCGAACGGAAAGGCCCUGCUUUUGUGGGGUGCUCGAGUGGCGAACGGGUGAGUAACACGUGAGUAACCUGCCCUUGACUUUGGGAUAACUUCAGGAGACUGGGGCUAAUACCGGAUAGGAGCUCCUGCUGCAUGGUGGGGGUUGGAAAGUUUCGGCGGUUGGGGCUGGACUCGCGGCUUAUCAGCUUGUUGGUGGGGUAGUGGCUUACCAAGGUUUUGACGGGUAGCCGGCCUGAGAGGGUGACCGGCCACAUUGGGACUGAGAGACGGCCCAGACUCCUACGGGAGGCAGCAGUGGGGAAUAUGGCGCAAUGGGCGGAAGCCUGAGGCAGCAACGCCGCGUGCGGGAUGACGGCCUUCGGGUUGUAAACCGCUUUCGCCUGUGACGAAGCGGGAGUGACGGUAAUGGGUAAAGAAGCACCGGCUAACUACGUG